rnacentral:rRNA from 1 species
UACGUAUGGUGCAAGCGUUAUCCGGAUUUACUGGGUGUAAAGGGUGCGUAGGCGGCUUUGCAAGUCAGAAGUGAAAUCUAUGGGCUUAACCCAUAAACUGCUUUUGAAACUGCAGGGCUUGAGUGAAGUAGAGGUAGGCGGAAUUCCCGGUGUAGCGGUGAAAUGCGUAGAGAUCGGGAGGAACACCAGUGGCGAAGGCGGCCUACUGGGCUUUAACUGACGCUGAGGCACGAAAGCGUGGGUAGCAAACAGG